rnacentral:sRNA from 1 species
AAUAAAAGUCUCCUGCAAGCAGGACUCGACAAGUUUGGCAUAGAAAAUUGACUUGUUUCAAAAUAAGCUUUAUCAGUUUCAUAGUGUUCUUUGACAAUUUGUAGGAAAGGUUCAGUAGUAUUUCUUUUAUAUAAACAGCCUAGAACUCUGAGUUGCAGAUCCUCUGUUUAAUUGAGAAAGGAUCUUGGGGGUUAUGGCCCAAAUGUUGCAUAGGAUUGUUAAAAUAUGUAGCAUUUUUUCUGAAAGUACAUAAUUUGUAUAUUUUAUGUGAUCAGUGACUCUCUUAUUUUUUUCAGUAUAUUUUUGGAGAUUUUAGCCCUGAUGAAUUCAAUCAGUUCUUUGUGACUCCUCGAUCUUCAGUUGAGCUUCCUCCAUACAGUGGAACAGUUCUGUGUGGCACACAGGCUGUGGAUAAACUACCUGAUGGACAAGAAUAUCAGAGAAUUGAGUUUGGUGUCGAUGAAGUCAUUGAACCCAGUGACACUUUGCCGAGAACCCCCAGCUACAGUAUUUCAAGCACACUGAACCCUCAGGCCCCUGAAUUUAUUCUCGGUUGUACAACUUCCAAAACAAC